rnacentral:rRNA from 1 species
GUGGGGAAUAUUGGACAAUGGGGGGAACCCUGAUCCAGCCAUGCCGCGUGUGUGAAGAAGGCCUUUUGGUUGUAAAGCACUUUAAGCGAGGAGGAGGCUACCGAGAUUAAUACUCUUGGAUAGUGGACGUUACUCGCAGAAUAAGCACCGGCUAACUCUGUGCCAGCAGCCGCGGUAAUACAGAGGGUGCAAGCGUUAAUCGGAUUUACUGGGCGUAACGCGCGCGUAGGUGGCCAAUUAAGUCAAAUGUGAAAUCCCCGAGCUUAACUUGGGAAUUGCAUUCGAUACUGGUUGGCUAGAGUAUGGGAGAGGAUGGUAGAAUUCCAGGUGUAGCGGUGAAAUGCGUAGAGAUCUGGAGGAAUACCGAUGGCGAAGGCAGCCAUCUGGCCUAAUACUGACACUGAGGUGCGAAAGCAUGGGGAGCAAACAGGAUUAGAUACCCCUGUAGUCC